rnacentral:snRNA from 1 species
AUCUUUGCGCUUGGGGCAAUGUCGCCGCUCAUGACUUUUUAAGGAGGCGCGACUUUUGCUAGUUGAAAACUAAAUGUCCAACCCCCAAGACCGGGUCACACGACCUUGAUCUUAAUUGCUGGAGCUCCACAGGGG